GUCCGCAACGAGCGCAACCCUCAUUGUUAGUUACUACCAUUCAGUUGAGGGACUCUAAUGAGACUGCCAACGAUAAGUUGGAGGAAGGUGGGGAUGACGUCAAAUCAUCAUGCCCUUUAUGACCUGGGCUACAAACGUACUACAAUGGCCAAUACAAAGAGAUGCGAAGCGGUGACGUGGAGCGAACCUCAGAAAGUUGGUCUCAGUUCAGAUUGAAGUCUGCAACUCGACUUCAUGAAGGCGGAAUCGCUAGUAAUCGCGGGUCAGCAGACCGCGGUGAAUACGUUCCCGGGUUU
rnacentral:rRNA from 1 species